ACUGGUCUGUUGUUGUUCUUUUAUAGUUUAGUAAGAGUUCAUAUUCGUUCCGAGAUAUAAACCUUCAAAUGUUACGUUUUCUGGUUCUUGUACUGCUACCAUUCAUUCUGCUAAUAGAUCAAGGUUUAUCUGAUGAGUACACCUUUCUGGAGUGCAUUAGAGAACAACAAUGCGAUGAAAGAGAGAUCGAUUACAUUCAGGACUGUUACCGGUACUGCCAUUUAGCUUAAUCCUUAAACAAAAAAUGUGCUAAAAUGCGACAAUAAAAUUUCUUUAUAAA